AGUCGAGCGAAUGAAGUUCCUUCGGGAAUGGAUUUAGCGGCGGACGGGUGAGUAACACGUGGGCAACCUGCCUCAUAGAGGGGAAUAGCCUUCCGAAAGGGAGAUUAAUACCGCAUAAGAUUGUAGUAUCGCAUGAUACAGCAAUUAAAGGAGUAAUCCGCUAUGAGAUGGGCCCGCGGCGCAUUAGCUAGUUGGUGAGGUAACGGCUCACCAAGGCGACGAUGCGUAGCCGACCUGAGAGGGUGAUCGGCCACAUUGGGACUGAGACACGGCCCAGACUCCUACGGGAGGCAGCAGUGGGGAAUAUUGCACAAUGGGGGAAACCCUGAUGCAGCAACGCCGCGUGAGUGAUGACGGCCUUCGGGUUGUAAAGCUCUGUCUUCAGGGACGAUAAUGACGGUACCUGAGGAGGAAGCCACGGCUAACUACGUGCCAGCAGCCGCGGUAAUACGUAGGUGGCGAGCGUUGUCCGGAUUUACUGGGCGUAAAGGGAGCGUAGGCGGAUUUUUAAGUGAGAUGUGAAAUACUCGGGCUUAACCUGAGUGCUGCAUUUCAAACUGGAAGUCUAGAGUGCAGGAGAGGAGAAGGGAAUUCCUAGUGUAGCGGUGAAAUGCGUAGAGAUUAGGAAGAACACCAGUGGCGAAGGCGCUUCUCUGGACUGUAACUGACGCUGAGGCUCGAAAGCGUGGGG
rnacentral:rRNA from 1 species